rnacentral:lncRNA from 1 species
GUCCCAUGAAAUACUAGAGGAGCACCUUCGUGUUUACAAAUAGCUGCGUACACGCAGAGAAUGCCUAUAAUAUUCAUCAAACUAUAAGGUGAAAACCCAAAUAUUCCGGAAGGCCGGUGUAUGGACCAAGUUAAGCCCUCUCUUUUGUCAACUUCUUCAAACAAUAUAUCUUCCUGAAUAUAGUAAAAAAGUGGCACGUUUAGUCUUGGCAAAUCCUCAGUAAAAGGCGGAUCGUGAGACGGUAUCUUGCCAAUACACUCGAAUGGACCGACGUAAUGUUUGCCUCCCGUUUGGAGACAGAUGUGGCGGAGAUUAGGCGCAUUCGGGAUUACAGAACGGAGCACGUUACGAAACAUGGCGCCGUUGAUAUUGCAAUUCUCGGCUUCAGUGGGACGGCUGGCCCACGUCACAUAGAAGAUGUGGGUGACGUCAGUGAGUUUUGAGAGCUUGGCUUGCGUAUCAUCCGGGUCGGAAAUGUCGCAUUGGAUGUAAUCAAUAGGGUACCCGGCGUUCCAAUUAGGCCUGGGGCGUCGGGCCACCCCGUGGACCUUCCACCGGCCACCGGGGGUAUCUGGUCGGGGCAAAAUCUCAGCUAGGCUGUUGCCUACAAUUCCUGUCACGCCUACUACAAGUCCCACGUUCUGGUAGUCUUGAGGUCGCGCAUCUUCUUCCAAUUUGUUCUGUACAGCGAAAAUUAAAAAAAAAAUUAUUUUAAAUAUCAGCAUGUUACGUGUAUGUAUAAGCUUUUCAAGUGAAGAGAGGCAAUUAGGGGGUCGAUCUUUACCUUAGCAGCGCCAAUACUACCUGCCCACCGCCAGCUCAUUUUUUGAUGAAUCUGGAAAAUUGAUGAUAAGUUUGGAGACUGCUUAUCUAUAAACAAUUAUACGAGCACUUUCUAGAAGGUAAUUUUCAGUUGAAGUUAGAUAAUGUGAAUAUGUGAUCAAUAAUGAAAGAUCCAAUAUCAUAAUGUGUGGUGAAAUGUGGUUCCGGCUAAAGGCCAAGCUUCGCACUGUCAUUGUCAGUCAGUUUGCUUUCCCGCAGUUUUCAAGUUCGGUGCCAACUCAAAUAAAUAAGUAGGUAACCACUUGGGUUUAGCCCAAGUGGCUAGAGCCCCUCCCUCACAAAUGUGAGGAAAGAGGUUCGAGCCUCCGCAGUCGCAUUGUAGGGGUUUAAUUUAAAUAUUUCUCCUUGGAGCCCUUGAGCUCGAGUGAAGAUAGUUUUUCUCUCAGGAUGGGAGUUUGACAUCCCUCGAAUAUUUGAGAGGGUUAAAAAUUUGAGCAGUGUCAUAUCAGCAUUAAUAUCAAUAGGGUUCAGUAUAAAUAUAUGAUUGUAAAUAUCAAUUAUACUCUCAUGUAAUAUGAGUUGUAAUUUGAACUGUAAUUUGAGCAAUAGUCUCAUGUAAUAAAAAAAAUAAUAAAUAAAUAAAUAAAUAAGUAGGCCAAUGUCGGUGACCAUUGCAAUAAAAUCGCCCUAUGAUUAUUACGGAAGCUUCAGUACGUGGACCCUGAGUUUUAAACCUAAAAUCAAAUAUAUGUCUCUUCACUUUUAUAAUUUGCUUAAGGCACACCAGUCAGUUUUGGGACAAAAAGAGUUCUUCAAUUUGUAUUUUCAUGGAAAUAAUCAAAACAUUUGAUAUUGAAGGUACUGUAACUUUGAAGGUAUAAGUAUAAUUAAAAAAAAAAUUAACUAUGAAUUAAAAAUUAACAAUUUCUAGUAAAUAUGAUUAUUAAAUAAUAAUUUUGAUAAAAAUAAUAAAUAUAUUAUAGUUUAUUCGUCAUACAGGUAUGAGAUUAAAUUAACUUAAUUUCUAAAUCACAGCAAAUAGUAUAUGCUAAAUAGUUGUAGCUUUUAAGCUAUAACUACUUAACAGGUUUUGAAAAAUGGGGAUGCAGUAUCUUUUCAAUAGGGGUGGGCGCGGUUCGGUUCGGUUCGGUUCGGUUUUUAACUAAAUUUUUCAUAAUCGUUCGAUUAUUAUUAUUUUAAAAUCAUAAUCGCAAUUAAUCAAAUUACCGAAAUAAUCAAAUACUCGAUUAAUCAAAAUAAUUCGAGUCGAUUCAGUUCGAUUAUUUCGAUUAUGGGCCUAUUGGACUUAUUUUGGAUUUUUUUAAAUUUAAAACCUUAAAUUAAUAAAUCUACCACAAACAUAAAAGGUUAACAAACCAAAAAUCAAAAUAUGUCUCAAAGUAUGUUCAAGAACAAAUAUGUUCAAAUAAAGACCCGUACAGAAAAGAUAAAAAUUUAUUUAAACAAACGAUUUGUUUCUUAGUUAAAAGUUUUUAAUCUUUUACUGCUUUUCUUAUUAUCCCCAUUUUCGUGAUUGUUGGUACAUAUGUCAAAUCAUAGGUGGAAGCCUCUAAAAAAUAAAAAUUAACCAAAAAAUCAAUUAAGAUUAUAGUUUAAUUAAGGAUCCAUAUAGAGUUAGUUAGCAGAACCAGCUGGAAAAUGUUUUUGUCUGAACCUGUUGCAGAAAAUUAAUACCUGCUGGCGUUUUUGAUUAAUUAAUUUAGUUAUGAAUAUACAAACUUAAAAAGUCAUGAAUGAGACGUGUCUGAACUUGCUUUAGACCUUUAGUUUUCAUCAGUAGUAAAGACAGCACCAGCAAUUCACAGCAUCAGCAUUUAGUUAUGAACUUGCUUUACGUGCUCUGGAAAAUAUCAGUGAAUCCAGCAAUUCACCGCACACUAUAGAGAACAUUUUCAAACACAGCUCUAGGAUAUAAAAAUCAUGAUCAAUCUCAACAGUAUCCAGUUUGCGAUUUGGGAAAAGAAACUGAAAAAACCGAAAAAACCAAUCAUUCAAUCAUCUUUCAAUCAAAGAAACAAACCAUAUCUCACCCAAAUGGGGGAAAAGAAAAAACAAAAGAAUGAAUCAAAAAUCAAUUUUGGUAUACAAAUUAGUAGUCCUGGGUAUAACUAAAUACAGCAUCUCAAGUGAACGAACCUCAACAAAUUACGAAACGAAACACGAAACAAUCAGCAGCAGCUCAAGUUAUUGGUUUUUAUUCUCUCCAAAAACAGAACAAACCAGACAAAAACGGCAGCGAUAUUUACAUAACUCAAGCACAUUAACAAAAACAUGGGAACGAGGAAAAAGAAAUUAACUUUAAACCAAAUUCAUAAAACCGAAACGAAAAAUGGAACCUUUUUCAUUCGAUUUUUUGUUCUGCUGGGAGAUUUUGUUGACAAAAACAAAAGAAUCUUUGCGGUGAGCCCAUUGUAUUCAGACAAAUAAUGGCAGCAGGGGAGCAUCGUGACAGCAGCAACGAGCAGCGUUGACGACUGACGAGCAGUGGCGACGACGAGAUUGCAGCGACGGCGACGAGCAGCGGGGAUGAGAUUCCAGCGGCUCAAGGUGCUGCGGGUGAAGGUCACGAGUUCAGCCUUGUUUAGUUUAGACUUCAGAUUUUAGGGAUUGUUAUUUGACAUUCGGUUUAUUUGAUAUCCGGUUCAGUUUUUUGGUUUUGUUUUUUUAAAUCGAAAAUCGAACCAACCGAUUUUACUAUUUUUAUUAUAUUACUCAUUCGGUUUUUUAGAUGAAAAAACCGCACAAAAACCGAACCGUUCGGUUCGAUUCAGUUUUUUGAUUAAUCAAUUUUUUUUCCACUCUUACUUUUCAGUAUCGGAUUUUGAUACAAUUACAUAAAUCUUCAAAUAUAUUAUAAAAAUCUAAAAUUAUUCUUAUUAAUUAGGAAAUAAAAUAAUUAAUUUUAAAGAGAUUAUUAUCACCAAUUAUAUUACGAUAACCAAAUAAAAAAAUAAAAUUAAUAAUUUAAAAUAUUUAUUUUAGUUAUCAAUUAUUAUAUAUAUACAAUAAAAAAUAUUUUUCAUACAUGUUUAUAAAUGCGUAAAUAAAUUUUAUUCAACAUUGUGUCCAAUUAAUUUAUUUAUAUUCUUACAACAAUUUAAUAGUAAUGUGAUUAUAGAGGCCAAAACAUCAAUUUUUUUUAGUUAUCAAAUGGUGUAAAAAGUCAAAUGAACACAAAAUGCAUUUGUAGUCUAUUGAAAUAUCAAAAUUGUCCUCAAAUUGUAAAUCUCAGACAUUUACACAUAGGAACCUCGUACAAGUGAUUGUGAAACUCGAUAUAUGAAUAAAUGAAGAAUUCUUUUUUUUUUUCUCUUAAAUUUUAGGAAAUAGUUAAAGAUGUUCAUAUGAAUGAAUGGAAGUUUUUUUUUCCUCAUCUCAUUCAUUCAUGUGAAUAUCCAUGAAGUUUAUUUGAAUGAACAAUUUUUUUUUUCUCAAUAAAUAUGCCAUCAUGAAAAAAGUUUUGGCUCUUGUGUAAAAUUUGAAAAUCAUAAAAAAAAUAUAUACCAAUAAAAUAAUUCUACAUAAUUUAUGCUCACCAAUUACUAGGAAGGGUAAAUGCUCAUUUAAUACAUAUAUUUUGACAUAACUAACUUUUCAGCCAUAUUAUUGUUGGAAAAAAAGAGUCCUUUGAUAUGUAAUUUUUAGCUAGUUAUACAAAUUGUGCAAGUUUCUAAAUCUCACCUCCACUAGGCAAACUUACGCAAAUAAUCAAAAGAGAGACGUCGCAUUUAAUUUAGAAGUUGUUUCUCGUUUAGGCCCUAUUUGAUAUUGAAAUGCUAUAGCAUAGUAGGAAAAAAAAAAGUUGCAACUAUUAAAUAAAAAUUGAUAAUGUUUAAUAAAAUAAUUAUUAAAUAAUAAUUUGAUAAAAAUAAUAAAGACACUAUAGGUUUUUUCAUACAAGUGUGGGAUCAAAUCAACUUAAUUUCUAAGCCACAAUAGCUAGUGUUUACUAAACACUUUGGUACUGUAACUUUUAAGAUACAGCUGCUCAACCUUAAUACCAAAGAAUGGUUUAAAUCGUUUAUAAGGUAAUAAUAGACAUGACUCUAGAAGCUAAAACAUCAAUUUCUUUUCUUUUUUUUAUUAUCAGAUAGUGUAAAACAUCAAACGGAAACAGCUAAAUUUGUGAUCCUAUUAUUAUCCCCAAAUUAUGAAUCUCUGCCAUUUACAAAAAAGAAUUUACUACAAGUGAAUGUGAAAGUUGAUAUGCAAAUAGAUGAAUAAUUCUUUUUUAUUUUAAUUUCAAGAAAUAGCUAACUUGUUCAUAUGAAUGAAUUGAAUUUUUUUUUUGUUGGGUUUUCUCAUCUCAUUAAUUCGUGUGAACAUUCAUGAGGGUUAAUUGAAUGAACAAAUUUUUAUUUUCUCAAUAAAUCAGAUAUCAUAAAAAAACGUUUUGGCUCCUGUCUAAAAUUUCAAAAUCGUAGCAAAAAGUAUAUCAAUAAAAAAUUCUACAUAAUUUAUACUCACCAAUUAAUCAGGAAAAAAUAUUAGAUAUAACUUUGAUGGAAUCAACAAGGUGAGAUAGAAAGAAGAAAAAGUGUCUAAAGCUUCAAUUUUGUUAGGUUUUUAUGAAUGUCUCACCAUGUUAGGAAAUCAAUAGUGUGAGCGUGUGUAAAAUGAUGAGAUUGAGAAAAACAAAAUUAAGGUUUAUGGUAUGGAUGUGAUAAAUGGGUUUGUUUAAUUAAUAUUAACAUCUUUGUUCAAUUGUUUUAAGGUUUUCCUUUAUAGUUACUUCAAUUUUGGGUAAUUUAGGAAUAAUAAGUUGUUUUUAAAAAAUUUAUGUUCAAAGUUGUUUCAAGGGUGAAAAAUCUAUACCCUUAUAAUUUUGUGUGUUAUGGCUCCUCAAGUGUGUUGUAUUACAAGUGAGUGAUUCAAAUUCAAAUAGAUAUUUUCAUUGGAUGUGUUUUUCCACACUAGGGUGGGACUAUAUUGCACAAAUGGAUGGAGAGUGCAGACCCAUAUUCGGCUAACAUAUAAUUUUUGUUGGGCUGGAUUAUAUCCAAACAUGAUGCGAACGACACAACAUUAAUCAAACGCGGCUCCCCCUUGAGGUUAGUCAGCUUUGCAUUACAUUUAUUUUAUAUAAUGAUAACAAUUUAAAUGCAUUUAUCAAUUUUAUUAAUAUUGAAAUACACUUUAUUUUAAUUUUCUUUUCUUACCCUUUUCUUUCUCUCUCCUCUCUCUAAGUAAUGCUCUCCGCUUGAAAAAUUUUGGAUUAUUCAAUUUCAAUCGGUUAUAUUUUUACAAUCAACUUUUUCUUUUUCUUUUUCUUUUUCUUUUUCUAGUCCUGUGAAUCGGUUGGUUAGAAAGGAAGUGGUUUAGAAGAGGAACCACUUAGAAAAGCUUUGGUCUUGAAUUAGGCUUUAAUUGAAAAUUGGGUUUAGUUAUAACUUGAAGGCAUGUAAUUAGAAAUGUAUUAUGAAUGUUUUUCUCCAGGUCGACAAUUUAGCUAAGUAUAUUUAUUGAACCCAUCAACAAAUAACAAUAACACAGCAAUUUUUUUUGUCCCUACCUGAAAUGAAGCUUUUCAUUGAUUAACAAACAAAAGUUACAUUUCUUCAGCAGAACAAUCACAGCUUGAACUAAUAAUUGAAAAUGUUGCUAAAUCGUGACUUUUCAAUAGCUAAGGCACCAAAUCCCAAAAAAAAAUAAUAAUAAGGAAAUUACUUAAGUCACAGGGCUGUGACUUUUUUUUUUUUAAUUUAACUCAUUAACAAUAACAAAGAAAAACAUCUCAUUUCCACGUAAAAUGAAACUUUUCGUUGAUUGGAAAGCAAAGAACAAAGAAAAGCUGUAUUUCUUGCAGCCAAACAAUCACAGCUUGAACUAUCAAUAAAAUGUUUAAGUAAGGCACCAAAUUCAAAAAAGAAAAUUACUUAAGGCACAAUCCUGUGACUUUUUAGCCUACCAAUCCAAGCAACGAAGGAAUUCUUAGAAUUCCUGAAACCCAGGAACCCGUGCUCCUUACUCUUGUUCAUGCUAACUGAAUAACCCGCACCAACAUUCAUCACCAUAUCUGCAUACGACCAAACAGCGACCUCAUUCAAUUUUGUUGGCUGCAACUGAUUCUCUCUCACAAUCUCCUCCCACACACUUUCUUUACCUUUCAUAAUUUCCUCCAAUCUCACCCUCUCACUACCCUUUUCAUCUCCAAACCCAUAAUUCUCAAUCUCAAACUGCUCAGCCAACACUUUCCAUAAAUGCUUCCACUUAAAAACAUCUCCAUUGGUGCAAUUGAAAGCUUCGUUUCUUGCAUUAGGAUCCACUGCCGCCCAAAUUUGCUGCUCCGCAAUCAAAUCUGCAUCCGAAUAUUCUGAGAAGCCUUCCCAAGUUUCUUUCGUCCCAGGAAAUAGUAAAGGAAAACCUUCAUGUUUGCAAAUAGCAGCGUACACGCAGAGAGUGCCUACAAUAUUCAUCAAACUAUAAGGUGAAAACCCAAAUAUUCCGAAAGGUCGAUGUAUGGACCAAGUCAAGCCUUCUCUUUUUUCAACUUCUUCAAACAAUAUGUCUUCUUGAGUAUAGUAAAAAAGUGGUACGUUUAACCUCGGCAAAUCCUCUGUAUAAGGAGGUUCGUGAGACGGUAUCUUGCCAAUACACUCGAAUGGACCCACGUAAUGUUUGCCUCCCGUUUGGAGACAGAUGUGGCGGAGAUUCGGUGCGUUCGGGAUUACAGAACGGAGCACGUUACGAAACAUUGCACCGUUGAUCUGGCAAUUCUCGGCUUCAGUGGGACGGCUGGCCCACGUCACGUAGAAGAUGUGGGUGACGUCAGUGAGUUUUGAGAGCUUGGCUUGUGUCUCUUCCUGGUCAGAAAUGUCGCAUUGGAUGUACUCAAUUGGGCGAUUGGCAUUCCAGUCGGGCCUCGGACGUCGGGCAACUCCGUAGACCUUCCAUGGGCCACCAGGAGUAUCCGAUCGGGGCAUUAUCUCUGCUAGGCUGUUGCCUACAAUUCCUGUCACGCCUAAUAUAAGUCCCACAUUCUGGUAAUCUAGAGGUCGCUGCUUAUCUUCUUCCAAUUUCUUCUGUACAAGUAAAAAUAAAACAAACAUUAUUUUAAAUGUCAGCAUGUUACAUGUCCACUAACUUAACUACAGAGUUGAUGUUUACCUUCGCAGCGCCAAUAUCACCCGCCCACCACCAGCUCAUCUUUUGGUGAAUUUGAAAAUUGAUGAUAGGUUUGGUUUCUGCUUCUAGUUUUAUUUAUAGAGAGGAGUUGACAACUGUGUAAAUAGACUUUCACAAUGUUUUGAAAUAGUUUACAUUAUCAUAAACAUCUAACUCUGUUCACACAUAAAGAGGAGACUGCCAAUUAUACAAGUACUUUCUAGAAGGAAAUUACGUAUUCAACUGAAGUUAGAUUAUGUGAACCAUAUUGAAAGAUCUAAUGCAAUAAUGUGUGGUGAAAUCUAAUGCACUAAUGUGUGGUGAAAUGAGGUUCCUGCUGAAGGCCAACUUCGUACUAUCAUUGUCAGUCAAUUUGCGUGCCCACGGUUCUUCAAGCUCGGUGCCAACUCAAAUAAAUUAGUAGGCCAGUGUCGGUGAUCAUUGCACUAAAAUCGCUCUACGUUUAUUACGGAAGUUUCCGUAGGGGGCCCAGGUUUAAACCUAAAAUCAAAUACGUCUCUCAAUUUUUAAAUUGCUUAUGGCACAGUAGUCUAUAACUUUUCAGCUUUCAAUAUCAAUUUUGGAAAAAAAGGGGGAUUUAAAUUUACUGUCGAGGUGCUAUUUUUACUAAUAUUUUAGAAGCAUAUGGUUGAUAGUUAUUGGAUACAAAUAUAAAACUAAUUGAAUCUUAACUAUAUAUUGUUAUACAUGUACAUGUGGUAGAAGAUUAUGAAUAGUUAAGCAUAGAUCAACUCAGUAUUAAAUCCAAAUUCCAUAAACAGUCCUUUAAUUACUUGUAGUUUCUAAUCUCAUCCUCUCCUGGCAAACGUUAUUAAAAAAAAAGCAAAAGAGAGACAUCCCAUUUAAUUUAGAAGUUGUUUCUCAUUUAAGACUUGUUUGAUAAUGAGAUAUAGUAACUUUUAAUUUACAGUUACGACAAAAAGAAAAAAAGCUAUAAUUAUGAAAUAAUUUUUUUAAAAAAUAAAGAGAUUAUUAAUCGACUAGUACUUAGUAUUUUACUGUUGUAGGUUUUAAGUCACUGAUGCCCAACCUCCGUAAGAAAUAGAAUCUUAAUUUAUUUCGCUUCUUUGAGGGUUUGAUAAAGAGAUAUUUGACCUGUUUAUAAGAAAAUAAUUGACAAGACUCUAAAAGCCAAAACAUCAAAUUUUUUCGUUAUCAGAUGGUGUAAAACAUAAAAUGAACACAAUACGCAUAUGUGGUCGGUGGAAAUAUCAAAAUUAUACUCAAAUUGAAAAUCUCAGCCAUUUGCACGCGAACUUUUGGUACAAUUGAUUGUGAAACUUGAUAUACGAAUAAAUGAACUUUUAUUUUUAAUUUCAGGAAAUGGAUAAAGUUGUUCACAUGAAUGAAUGGAAGAUUUUUUUUUUCCUUUCUCAUCUUAUUAAUCCAUCUGAACAAAAAAUUUUAUUUCCUCUAUAAAUCUGCCAUCAUGAAAAAAAAUUUGGCUGUUGUGUAAAAUUUGAAAAUCAUAGAAAAAGUAUAUCAAUAAAACAGUUUACGUAAUUUAUACUCACCAAUUAAUUAGGAAAAUGUAGUAGGUAUAACUUUCACGGAAUCAACAAGCUGAGAUAGAAAGAAGAAAAAGUGUCUAAAUUUAUUAGGCUUUGAUGAAUGUCUCACUAUGUCCGGAAAUUAACUGAGACAACAAUAAUAAAACGAUGAGAUUGAGAGACGUGAAAUUAAGGUUCAUGGUAUGUGAUAAAUGGGUAUGUUGAAUUAAUAUUAACAUUUUCGAUUAAUUGUAUAAAGUUGACUUCAGUUAUGGGCAAUAUUUUUUUUGUUUUAUUGAUAAGGGAAACGAGCCUAGCAAAAGUAGCUAAGGCUUAACAGUAAGAGGGAACGCAGUCCCUAAGGUAUCGCUACGCAGCCAGAAUUCAACACCAGGAGGGGGAAACAGAAGACUGUGGAGCCCAAGAGGUAACGAGAGAGCAAAAGUAGCAAGAAAAUCAGCUGCGAAGUUUGCCUCACUGUAGAUAUGGUGCACAAAAACCUGCCAAUUUUGAGCGAGAAGAGCCUUGAUACUCUUGACAAGGGGAGACGAAGCAUUAAGCGUAUCAUUUUGAGCCUCCAAAAGCUAAAUCACGCAUAAGCUAUCAGCCUCAACAAUCAUCGAUCUGAUACCCCCGUUCCAUGCCAUGAGGAGACCCUGAUAAAGGCCCCACAGCUCAGCAAUUGUGAUUGAACACAGCCCAAUGUUCAUUCAAAAUCCUUCAACACAUUCUCCACAAUUGUUUCUGAUUAAGCCACCAGCAGAAGCCAAAUCCGAGGCCUUACGAGCUCCAUCCGUGUUCAACUUGAAGAAAGCUACACAGGAGGCACGAAGCCAAAGUACAUCUCUACUCUCGUGGGUUUGUCUGUUAUGGCAAUUUAAUACAUAUUGUUAUUAAAAAGUAGUGCUAAGAGAUUAGUGUUAAAAAUUGUAUGUUUAUUAAGGGGUAAAAAUGUUAUUUUGUGCUAAUAAUAUAAUUUACGUUUGUAAAUAUGUAACAUAUUAUGAAUUUCUAAUUAUUUUUCUAAAUAUUUGAUUUUGUGUGUUUAUUAGGUAAAAAUAAUAAUUUCACACAAUUUGAGACUCCAAAUAAAUGUACGGAUGUCAAAUUUGGAUUCCGAAAGUCUGAGAAAUGAGGUCCUUGUCGAUCAGGAUCUGCGACUUUUGUUGUAAAUUUAUAAGUUGUUACCAAGGUAAAUGUGGUAAUUGUGAAAUUAUAAACUUUUACUAUAUUAGGUGUGGUAAUUGUUAGUGGCAUGUGUUGGAUGUGCUUGAGUGGAUUAAGUUAGGUUUAUGUUUUAUUAGUAUGACAAAUACAUGGUUAAGAUAUACUUAGCUUUAUUUAUUUGUGUGGUGUGGAUUAAUCAUGUAUUAGUAUAAAUAGAUAGGGGGGAACACACCUCUUCACACAUUUCCUUCUCUGCUUUCCCCUCAAAUUCUUCUUCUCAUCUCUCUUUGUAAUAAAUUUUCAAUAAAUAAAAUUAGUUUUAUUUUCAAUUUUCAAAUACUUUUUUUCAUUAUGUUGUUUUUUUUUAAUUUUAAUAAUUCCUUUUAUUUCAAAUAUGUUUAGCUAAAUACUAAUAGUUAGGGGAAGAUGAAACUCUUAGUAAAAAAAUAGGAUUUAAACAAAUUCUAUUUUUAAUUAUAGAAAUUAAUUAUUUUCCAUCUAAUUUUAUCCAUAUUUUAUAUUUUGAAAUUUUGAUUUAUUGUAGACAAACAUGGGGUUUAGCAUAAUGAAUUUUUAAUAUCUUAGUAUAAAGUAUGGUAAACUAGUAUUUUAACUUAUUGUAAACAAAUUAAAUUUUGGUACACUAAGUACUUAGUUCGUAAUAAAAUUAUUGGGAAAAUAAUUGUAAUUUAUACAAUUAAUCAUUUGGACAAUAACCUAAAAAUAAAAAGAAUUUAUUAAAUUGUAUUUGUUACUAAGAGGGGAUCUAGAACCUAACUAAUUUAAUUUUAUAGUUUUGAUCAAAUUAAACUGCACAUUUUAAAAUUUAUUUUCAUUAUUUUAAAAUAAAAAAAAAAUUAAAUAUUUUCUCUGUAGAUCGACCUCAGAUUCAGUGACUCACCGAGCUAUAGUUUAACUAGGCACUCUUACACUUGGGAGUAAAUUAAACACUUUUAAGUCGUGCACUUAGAUUAGCUUUUGCUGCUAUUUAAACCCACUAAUUUCUUCUCUAUAACUAUUUUAAAAAAUAACUUUAUCAUUAAAGUUUUAAAAUUUGAAAAUCUCGAAAUUACCCCACCAAUUACUUUCUUUCUCUACUUUACAAUUACAUACUCUCCCAUUAUUCUCAUAUAUAGUCUACAAACAAAACACUCAAUUUCACUUUCUUUUGAAUUUUUUUUAACAUUUCUUAGUAUAUUAUGAUCUAUAUUUCAUGCUUUCUGUAUAUAAGAAAUUUUUUCCUUAAUAUUCAUUAGCUUUUGUGUUUAGUAAAAAUUAAUUUCUUGAUAUUCAUUCAUUUUCAUGACUGAUAAAAAUUUGUUGAUAUUCAUUUUUAAAUGAUGGAUUUUGUUCUUCUUAGUUAGUAAUACUUAUUCUUUAUAGGUAAAAGAAUAUAUUUGAAUGGAUUGAAGAGAAUUUGUAAAAUUAAGAAGAGAAAGAGAAGAGAGGAUUAAUUAAGAAAUUUUUUAAAAAUUAUUUAGAUAAUAAAGUUCUUAAUUAAAAUGAGGGUUUAGAGAGGAAAUCGAUAAGUUCAUAUAGCUCUUCCUUAGUUUUUAGAGUGCAAAUUUUAAUACCCUUAUAGUUUUGUGUGUUAUGGCUCCUUAAGUAUGUAGUAUUACAAGCAAGUGAUCCAAAUUCAAUUUGAUAUUUGUCUUUCUACAUUCUGGUGGGGUUGUAUUGCAUAAUCGAUGCAAAGGGCUCACUCAUGUUUGGCUUACAUAUAACUCCUAAUGAGCUAGAUUCUAUCUAAAACUAAUGUUGGGGAAUUUUAAUUCCACUCAAGAUCUUGAAAAUAAAAAUAUCAAAUAAAUAAUUAAUAAAAUAUACAGAUGAAGAAUAAAAUCAAUCCACUACAAGAAAAAUGGCCUACUAUGACAGGCAAAAACGGUUAUCUUAGGGGGUGGAUGACGGUUAUCCUUACUGUCAUUGUAGCCAGCGUCAAGAAAAGAUAACAGACAAAAACCCGUCACAAGUUGUGAUAAAUUUUACCUGUCAUAAUUCAGUCAUACAACUUAUAUAAGGGAAAUUGGCUUUUUUUAAUUUUUAUGUUUUAUGAAAUUAAAACUGUAAUUAGUAUUUGUGGAUAAAAGUUGUGUGUCAAAUGUUGUGACUAGUAUUUUCAAUCACAAUUUUUUUUAAAAUUGACUAUUUAUUUUAUUUAUUAAUUUAAAAAAUAAAAAAUAUGCAAUUUUAGUUUCCUCAAUUUAAAAUUUAAAUUAUAAAUUUUAUAUCAAAGAAAAUAAAUUAAUAAAUGCAAUCAAAUCCAAAACUAAUGAACUAAAUUAGUGAACUUUAUUAUCCAUAAAAAUAUCCAAAGUACUUCUAAAUUUCAAAAACAUACAAUUGAAACUUUACAAUUCAAUAGUUAAUCAAUAUUUCAAACUCAAGCCAACAGCCAAAAAAGACCAAUCCAAAACCAAAGCAAAGUACUCAGCAUUCAGCAACAUCCAGCACUAAAGCUAUGCAAAAUGUAGUCCUUUUCUAGCAGCAAAAUCCAGCAGCCCCCAAGCCAAGAAAGAAGUAUCCCAUUUCAUCAAUUGAAAAUAUUAAGUGAAAUAUAAGCAUUUACACAUGAAAAUAUUAAGAAUAACAUCUACAAAAAGGAAAAAAAAUACAAGUAAUAAUAGAAUACGAAAAUACUCAGUGAAAACUAAGGCGAGACCCCUUUUUUCCCUUCUCUGGAGUAAGGCACUAAAAGGGAUUAAAGAAAUUAUGAUUGUGUUCCACACCUGGCGCUGGUAGAGACAAACUCUGGUCAUGUAAUAUUUGCCUUGGCACCGUUUGAAUAUGUCUAUAUUAGUAUCCACAAAUUCAAGGAAGAUGAUUGGCCUACCUCUUACAUAUAUCAUAUUCAAGUCCAAACAGCUUUAUUCCUCGUGGGAUUUAUUUGAUCAAAUUAAUAGUUCAGGAUGAAAAAUGGUUAGAACCUCACAGUCAUCAAAAGUUACUGUCUCAUAAUUCAUUUUAGUGCUUAUAACACAGAGGAAAUAAAAUAAAAUAUCUAAACAUACAUUUAUCAUGUAUGUAAACAUUUUUUUUCUUUUCUUUAAAUACAGAGAGGACAGUAGUUAGUUAUUUAAUUGAAAGGAUGCAUAGAAAGUUUCUUUAAACCAAUACUAGUGGUUAAGUCUCAAAAAGAAAUAUUAGUCCAAAUUCAUUACUUCCAAUCAAGCAAAAGCAUGCAGUAUCAAACAGGAAAUGCAUCCUCAGGACCCAUAAGCCAAUUUGUACUCCAUUACUAUCAAUUUCCUAGCUGGUCAAUUUUUUAUUUUUUAUUUUUAUUUUUUUGUGGGUAUCUCUUAGGUAUCGAAAGUCAUACCCUAAGUAAUCAAACAAAUUCAGAUAGUGCUUACCCAAUACAAGAUAUUGGAGAUUAAAUCCAAGAGUAACGGAAUGCAGAAAGUACCUUUUUUGAAGAAAAUGUCAGUGACGUCUUUCGAAGGUAAGGGUCCCAGUAAACAACAGGAUCCACUUUCUGAUUCAGCACAACAUUUCCACAUUUCCAAUCAAGGGAGCUUGAUAAAUACUGGAUGAUGUUAAGACCAAAAUCAGUUUUAAACGAUUUGUCUUCCAAGAUCGUACAACACGCAGGGAAAAUGCCAGUGAGUGGGUGAUCAUAUCUCUUCCUCCAGCGAGGAUAUUAUUAUAUAUACAUAUAUAUGCACACUAUAAAACUACUGAUCAUACAUUCAUCCAUUAAUAAUUUUUAUUUUAAUCGUCUGCACAAAUUAAAGGGAAAUGAUCAGCCUAUCCUCGACCUCAAGCAUGCACCAAUAGCAUUACAAAUAAUUAAACUUUUCUCCAAUCAAAUUUCUUAACUAGCUAAUAGGAAUGAUAAUUAGUAAUAAUAAGAGAUUAAUUAGAAACUUCAAAGAAAUACAACGUGUGCAUAAGAUUUAAUUCCUCAGUUCAUGUUUUUCUAAUAAUUUCAAGAUAACUAGCUUAUUUAUUUAUCAGCACAAGAUGAAGUCAUUUUAACUAUAUGUAUCUACUUUUACAAGCUAGGUAGGAGUACUAGAACUAUUGUUUAUGAAAUUAUAUUUAUAAAUAAAUACUUGUGUAUGCAUGUGAUCAAUAUAUAUAUAUAUAUAUAUAUGCACACACACAAAUUACAAGAUUGAUUGAUCGGGCUGAUGGAUAUAUCUAUGUAUGCAUGCAUUUAUUCCUUAGUUUUUUUCUUUAAAUUAAAUUGUAAUUCUCAAAAAAGAAAAAGAAUAAUCACAGCAACAGGCAUUUAGUCCUUAGUUUUGGAGGAUCUGUCCUUCUCCUUCCUCUGUCCUCCAAGAAUACGAGAAAUCUGUAAACCUUUAUGCACUAAAUACUUAGUUGAACAACAUUCUUGUUUGAAAUUCUAAAACAAAUGGGAACCACGCCAAGAAUGCAACCGGGGUGAAUAGAAGCAAUCCCAUCACUAUUUCAUAACCAUGAGCAAGUGUCCUAACUGAUCCCCAAAUUCCACCAUGUUGUAUCACUGGCUUACAAGCUUGUAAGAUCUAUAUACAGUUCCACGCAUCCAUAAAAAGAAAAAAGAUUACUUAUUAGAAAAGCCCCAAUGAUAAGCAAGCCUGGUCAAUAUCCCAACACCCAUCACGAUUAAAUUGGCAAGGAUCUUCAUAGCCUAAAUCAAAUUUAAUGAUAAAACUAUAAUAAUUGAAUUCCAAAAAAAAUCAAAUAAAUGUUUAAAAUUUCAAAAAUAAUUAAACAUAAAAUACCAAUCAAGUAGAUCCAAAUUUAACAAGAGCACACCGAGGAUUUUCAAAUUUUACAUGUAUAGGGUUUAAAUUUGAUGACAACACAUCUAGGGUUUUCAAGAUUUAGGUGUCUAGGGUUCGAAUUUGACAAGAACACAUCUAGGUUUCUCAAGUUUUACAUAUCUAGGGUUUGAGUUUGACAAGAACAUUAAAAUUGAAAUGGAACACAACACUAGAAACAUUAUUUACCUGUAUUAUUCAAACGAUUGCAGCAGUGGGUGAGUGAAUGAAACGACCCUCCCCGAACCCCAGGGUAAGUGUAUCUAACCUCAUCCAAACUGGAUUGAUAAUAAUCUAAUUAGUAAGGAUUUUGCCAAAAAAUCGACAGUCUCUUUUAUAUAUAUAACACUCCCAACCUGCAAAUAUAUAAGACAAGCACUCCCAAUAUAAUUCAAUACACAACAAACUCCAACGUUCAACAUCCUCAACCACAACACUGAGCUUUACUCAAGAUAUCUCCAGAAUCUCAAAAGAUAAUAUUAUAACUAAUAUUAAUAUCUCAGUUUAUUCUUAAUCCCAAAAGAAUAAUAUAACAAAAUUAUACAAUCCCAAAAGAACGAGAUAACCAAGAUGUCCUAACAAAAUCAUCUAUAUCUUCUAACACCAUCACGUGGCCAAUACUCAAAAUAUAUUUACAGUCGUUGGGUCGGUCUAAUGUACCUGCAACCUCCUGAUGGGGGGGAGGAAUAUAAUAAAAAUGGAGUGAGUAUAAAACUCAGUGAGAUCAGUGAGUGGAUAGUAGUUUUUAAAAAUCAAUUAUUACUUCAAAAGAAAUAAUCAUAUCAUUUCCAAACACGAUUUCAUCAAACCAUAUGCGAGAAACCAGUAAUAAAUCAUUUAACAUUUAAAUCAAAUUACUAACAAUGAAAAGCAUAUAGAAUACACAAAUCUGAAAAUCAUCACCAAACAAGUACCUAGGGAAAUAACCUCGUCAUAUUCGGACCUCAACGGACGGGCAAUGACGUACUAUCUAGGUACCGUCACGCCCCGGAGCUACACGGAUAGACAGGGAAAUAUCAUCUCAUAUCUCAUCAUAUCUGUGCAUACAUAAUCUAGUUCCCAAGGGAUAAAAGCACCCAAGCACACAGCCCAAAGCCUCUCUGUGUGCUCAGACGGGCCCCAAAGGCCUAUAUCUCAUAUGUAUUAUAUGUAUCUCAAUAUCUGUCUAUAUCUCAUAUUUGUAUAUUUGUAAUCAUCAUACUGCAUGCAUAUGCCCCCAAAAGACAAAAAUGCUCAAACACACGGUCCAAAGCCUCUAUGUGUGUUCAGAUGGGCUCCAAAGGCCUCUCAUCUCAUAUCAUGUGUAUCACUAUAUCUGGAAGGGAAGGGUACUGUCUAAUGAUUUCAAAAACAAUCAUUAUACUCAUAUUCACAUACCUUUUACCCAUACUUUAAAUCAUAUCACAUUUGAAUCCACUUUUCUUAUCUUUAAAAUACUAUCAUGCUUAUUCAAAGUCGAUACGCAAAAUCAUUAACCAAACAUUUUAAUAAAAUACCAAUGCGUGAAUAAAAUCUAUUUCAAGGGAAUCAUUAAAUCAGAACAUUUAAAAUACUUAUUUCUCAAAUAUGCUUUACUAUUAUAAUUAACUAUAAAAUUAAGUUUUGUAUAUUCCACUCACAGUGACGGUGUUCACGCUCGUUAUCGUCCACGUCCGCAGAUCGAUUCUCGCUUGCGAAUCCCCCUUAAUUAUGGAAACGACAUAAUUAUUUUCUGUAAAUCGAAAUUACGACUAAAUUUAUGCAAUAAACUCGAAACGAAAUUCGAUCCAUAAUUUACAACUCUCGUGUCGAUAAAAUUACUAAAAUACCCUUGAGUUCGUAAAUCAUUAACAUACUCUGAAAUCGUAAAUCACCGAAUUACCCUCGGAAUCAUAAUUACACCCAAUCCUCAAUUCUAGGAAUUACUAAAAUAUCCACAGGCUCAAAAAUUACAAAAUUGCCCUUAUAGCGUGAAAUUACCGAAAUGCCCUUCCAGGUCAAUGGUCACCAAAAUUUAGUCAACGCUGGCCGAGAAGGUCAAGUCUGAAAUUUAUGGUCACACUGAGUCCAACGGUGGCAGUGGUGACCUCCCACGCGCGGUGAUGGCUCCGGAUCGAGCUCCCAAAGUUGUAACUCCUUCAACCGAUCAACGGCAAAACGAUGUCCCUGGUGGCAGUGGAUGGUCGUAAAUGGAAGAGGGAGUCUCGGGGAACAAAAUCCAACCGGUGGUGUUACCCAAAAUCGGCGAAAAUCCCAGCGGAGCAAAGUGGAAAAGUCGCGGGUUUUCAAGCUUUGGUCGCCGGCAUUUUGGUUGUUUUUCGGUGACAUGGACGGCAAGGGUAUAAUGGCCGGUCUUCAAGCUUCAAAUUGGUACCAAGUUUGACCGGAACGGUGGCCAGAAAUGGAAGUUACGACCGAGUCAAGGUCGCGGGUUCCAGGUCGGGUUUGAUAGCUUCUCUCUCACUCUCUCACACGUGUGUCUCUGUUUUGCUCUGUUUUCCAACUUCCUCUUUUACUUAUUCUAACUUUUUAACCACCUCAUUUUAUUCCUUUAUUUAAUUCACAUAUGUUACAGUGAAGGUUCUCAGUUAGGGUAUUGAAAUUCAAUAGUGGCAGAACACGCGUUUGAUAGGCACUCCGUGUAGUUCUUGGUGAGGGCCUAAAUCAACGGUGAAAUACAAGAGAAUGUCGGCGGCAGUUCAGUGCCUAUGCAAGGAUUUUGGGCGAAAAGGGCUUUGUGAGCGUAAGAUUGAUGAGAGUGACUAAGCAAGAGACAAGAGUAAAAGUGCCAAUACUCACUGAGAAAAAAAAAUUACGAUGAGUGAUAACUAAAGAGGGUUUCAUUUUUAUUUAGUUUUAAUCUAAACGGUGUCGUUCCUUGUUUAAAGAGAAAACUUUUAACCCAAAUGGUACUGUUUAUUCUUUAUUUAUCUUUUUCAUUCAUUUUAAAAUUUUCAGUCAACCCUGCAAAAUAAACUCAAAAUAAAAAUAUUGUUUGACGACCAAAAUUAUAUCACAAACUUGUCAUUAUUUUUUGAUAGCCAAAUAAUUUAUCACUAGUCUAUCAUAAGUGCUUGAUAGAUGAAAUUUAUAUCACAAGUAUGUCAUAAACGCAUGACAAAAAAAAAAAUAUCAUCGAUCUAUCGUUGUAACUCUCAACACCAAAAACUGUCACAUAAAGGACUGUCAUAAUAGGUCUUUUUUCUUGUAGUGAUCAAACAAUACAAAAAUUUAUGAAAAAAACUCUUGUACCAGAGAAAAUCAUGCAACUAAGGACAAUGAGGGAAAAAUUUACUACAUGGAAAAUUAUUGCAAUUACUUGAGUAUUUUCCUCAAACCCCAAAUCCUAAUAACACUCAUUCUCUCAAAAGUCUUAUUGUUUCUCUUACAUUAGAAAUUGUCUACUUGCUUAUUUUUAUAUGACCAAGCAAACCAAACAUCCUCAUAUACAGUGAUUAUUUCUUAUAGGAGAAGUUUUUAUUUCCUUAUAUAAAUUAUAUUCCUCUUUGAAUAAGUUAUGUCCCAAAUGAGGAAUUUCUUAUUCCUCAAAUAUGAAUUCUCCAAAAUAAGAAAAUAGCCUUGAAAACCCUUAUACUGGAAAAAGGAGACAUAUUUCCUAACAAUCUCCACCUUAACAAGUUUUUUGAUUAAGUGAAAAAAAAAAUAUAUAAUCCACCGUGUAUCCACACAAGCAUGUUGUCUGCAUCUUCUUUCCUCCACCAAAAUCACAUUCAUAUAGGGCUUAUGAGAAUCACUCUAUCAUGGGUAAAAUCUUGUCACGACUAUAAUUCUCCACAUUGAAAAUCAUCAUACUCCACUUUAUAUAGAGUACACAUAUUCAGCACAUCUCGGUCACCUUGCUGAAAAUCCUACUCUCAUGUUUGGCUUCCUUAAGAGUCAUCAACCAUUAACAUAAAAAUUCUACCAUACACCUUGUAUAAAUGUCAAAAUAUGUCUUGCGUGUAAAUUUAUGGACCUGCUAGCAGUAACACAUUCUCUUUCAUGACACGCCAAAAAGGAUAAAUUAGUCUCUCGUGAAGAAAAGAGACACACCACUAGAUGAGAUUACUAGUAUUUCCAUCUACUAAUUUAAAUCUACUUGCCAAACCUGCCUCAUUCCAACAAUCUUUAUUAAGAUGCCUUGAUUGUCUACACACCUCUAGGAGUUUCCAUCAGUGGGAACAUGGUUUACAUCGUCUUUACUUUCAUUGUUUAACAUAGAUUGGAUAAACAUAUAUCUUUGACUUCAAUCUGUCCCAAGCCAAAACUUUUUCUCCCAUUAAACUUUCUAUUUUACCUUCACAAGUUUUGAAACCCUCUUUGCUGAUAUAUUUGCUCUGCAUUGCAACCUUAACUUUAAUACCACUUGUUACAAAAUUUUAAUUCGAUCCAAGAUCUUGCAAGUAAAAAUAUCAAACAAAUAAUAAAUAGAAAAUACAGAUGAAGAAUAAAACUAAUUAUACAACAUAAGAAUUUUAAAUGGAAACUCUAAUACAGGAGAAAAACUAUACUGUAAAAAAAAAAGACAGAAAAUUUUAUUAUGUGAAAAAUUAUUUCAACUACUCUGGCAUUUUUCUCACAGCCAAAACUCCAAUAACACUAAAUCUCUCAAUAGACAUAUUGUUUCUCUCACAUUCAAAAUUGUUCACUUGCUAAUUUUUAUAUAACAAGUGAACCCAACCUCCUUAUAUAUAAUGAUUAUUUAUUUCUUGUAGGAAAAAUGUUCAUUUUCCUUGUACAAGUUGUAUUCCUCUUUAAAUAAGUUAAGUCUUAAAGGGAAAGUUACUUAUUCCUUAAAUUGGAGUCCUCCAAAAUAAGAAAAUAAUAUAGAUAAGAAAUUCUUAUUAAAAAAAGAAAACAUAUUACUUAACACCUAUGCAGUGGUAAAGAAUCAACCGCAACACUAUUUUUGUUUACCUUAUAUCUACCAUCAAAGCUUCGGUAGGAUUAAAUAUAAAGGUAAAUUUUUCUGCACACGCAUUAAAAUCGACAUAAACAAUUUACUACUCUUCCCCAAGAAUUAUGAGAAUAGGCUAUGAACAAUCUUUUAGAAUUUCUAAGUAUUGACAGCUCUGACUCAAUAAAAUUACAAUUAUACUCCCUAACCGGAAUAAUUAUGAAAAAAUGACAUAAAUGCCCAAACCUUUAUUUUAAUUUCAUUUCUCACCCAUUAUCUUUCUCUCUCCUCUCUCUAAAUAAUGCUCUCCAGUUCAAAAAUUAUGGAUGUUUCAUUCUAAUGGAUUAUAUUUUCACAAUUUAUUUUUCUUUCCCAUUUUCCUUUUCAUGUCCUUUGAAUCAGUUAGUUACGACGGACUAACAAAUUAAAGAAGCAUUGGACUGGGAUUAGGCUUUGAACGUCGAGUGGUCAUAACUUGAAGGCAUGUAAUCAGAAAUGUAAAAUGAAUGCUUUUAAGCUCGAAAUUCAGUACAGUUUUUGACUAUUGGCACACCUCUAACUUUCUCGUCAAACCCCUUUUCUAUAGAUAUCCUUUUUAAUUCUUAAAAUAACCUCAUUUGCUAUACUUUCUUAAUAAACCACUGCAUAGGACGAAAAAACAAAAACUUCUAUCAAUGAGCUCUCUCUCUCCCCUCUCCCAUUUCAAGCACUUACAAUUUCUUAUUGACUAUAGCAUUCAUGAAUUUCUGAUUUUAAUCUCUAUCUAUCUUUAUUUUUCUUAGUAGGUAAUAACUUGAGUAUGUAUACAAAGACAAGUAUAUGCAUAUCUGAAAGAAAAACUUGGCGUAAGUAAAUAAAUUUCACCGAAUAAUCUUUCCUAAAAUAACUUAGUUUAUAUUUAGAUCAAAUUCUUAUCUUAUGAGAAUUCAUUGUUUUCUCAAAUUUUGUAGAUUUUAAAGUGUUUUAGAAUGGAGAAAAAAACUAAGAAAACAACAUAGGUUAGUUUAAUCAGAUAAGUUUUUUUUUUAAUAUAAUUUAAAAUAUAAAGAAUAAAUUUAUAAAUAUAAAAUAAGUGGAAUUUCAUAAGAGAUAUAGAGGAGUGCGAAUAGCGCCACUCUUUUAUUUAACUCAUUAACAAUAACAAAGGCAGCAGUUUUUCUUUUUUUUUAAUCUUUUUUCCCCCAGAAACGACACUUUUCAUUGAUUGGAAAGCAAAGAACAAACGAAAGCUGCUUUUCUUCCAGCCAAACAAUCUCAAUUUAAACUAUUAAUUGGAAGUUUUAACUAAGGCACCAAAUUAAAAUAAAUAAAUAAAAUUACUUAAGGCACAAUCCUGUGACUUUUUAGCCUACCAAUCCAAGUGACGAAGGAAUUCUUAGAAUUCCUGAAACCCAAGAACCCGUGCUCCUUACUCUUGUUCAUGCUAACUAAAUAACCCGCACCAAUAUUCAACCCCAUAUCUGCAUAUGACCAAACAGCAACCUCAUUCAAUUUCGUUGGCUGAAGCUGAUUCUCUCUCACAAUCUCCUCCCACACACUUUCUUUACCUUUCAUAAAUUCCCCCAAUCUCACCCUCUCACUAUCCUUUUCAUCUCCAAACCCAUAAUUCUCAAUCUCAAACUGCUCAGCCAACGCUUUCCAUAAAUGCUUCCACUUAAAAACAUCUCCAUUGGUACAAUUGAAAGCUUCGUUUCUUGCAUUAGCAUCAACUGCCGCCCAAAUUUGCUGCUCCGCAAUCAAAUCUGCAUCCGAAUAUUCUGAGAAGCCUUCCCAAGUUUCUUUCGUCCCAGGAAAUAGUAAAGGAAUGCCUUCAUGUUUACAGAUAGCAGCGUACACGCAGAGAGUGGCUAUAAUAUUCAUCAAACUAUAAGGUGAAAACCCAAAUAUUCCGAAAGGUCGAUGUAUGGACCAAGUCAGGCCCUCUCUUUUCUCAACUUCUUCAAACAAUAUGUCUUCUUGAUUAUAGUAAAAAAGUGGUAUGUUUAACCUUGGCAAAUCCUCAGUAAAAGGCGGAUCGUACGGUAUCUUGCCGAUACAGUCGAAUGGUCCCAGGUAAUGUUUGCCUCCCGUUUGGAGACAGAUGUGGCGGAGAUUAGGCGCGUUCGGGAUUAUAGAACGGAGCACGUUACGGAACAUGGAGCCGUUUAUCUGGCAAUUCUCUACUUCAGUGGGACGGCUGGCCCACGUCACGUAGAAGAUGUGGGUGACGUCAGUGAGUUUUGAGAGCUUGGCUUGUGUCUCUUCCUGGUCGGAAAUGUCGCAUUGGAUGUACUCAAUCGGGUGAUUGGCAUUCCAGUCGGGCCUGGGGCGUCGGGCCACUCCGUAGACUUUCCAAGGGCCACCAGGAGUAUCGGAUCGGGGCAAUAUCUCUGCUAGGCUGUUGCCUACAAUUCCUGUCACUCCUAGUAUAAGUCCCACAAGCUGGUAGUCUCGAGGUCUCUUAUCUUCAUCCAAUUUCUUCUUCACAAAUAAAAAAUAUUGAGUACUUGAAAAAUGAUGAUAUUUAAACAGAAAAACCGAAGUUCAUUUUUAACAUAUAAAAUAUGAACAUGUAUGUACAUUAAUUUAUCAAGUACAGACUUAAGAGAGAGUUAAUCCUAUUCUUUACCUUAGGAGCGUCGAUAGCACUUGCCCACCACCACCAGCUCAUUCUGAAAAAAAAAAAAAAAAAAAAAAAAAAAAAAGGGAUGAUGAGUUUGGUUUUUGCUUCUGCUUUUAUAGGGACCAUAGCGAACAAAGGUAAGAGUCGAAUGAUCGCGAGCGGCGAGUGACAUGCGCGGCAGAAUCUGGAUCACUCACUGAUGUUGUAUUAUUGAGAGAUCAAAGAUAUAAUGUGUGGUGAA